rnacentral:rRNA from 1 species
AUUGAACGCUGGCGGCAUGCCUUACACAUGCAAGUCGAACGGUAACAGGUCUUCGGAUGCUGACGAGUGGCGAACGGGUGAGUAAUACAUCGGACCGUGCCUAGUAGUGGGGGAUAACUACUCGAAAGAGUGGCUAAUACCGCAUGAGAUCUACGGAUGAAAGCAGGGGAUCGCAAGACCUUGUGCUACUAGAGCGGCCGAUGGCAGAUUAGGUAGUUGGUGGGAUAAAAGCUUAACAAGCCGACGAUCUGUAGCUGGUCUGAGAGGACGAUCAGCGACACUGGGACUGAGACACGGCCCAGACUCCUACGGGAGGCAGCAGUGGGGAAUUUUGGACAAUGGGCGCAAGCCUGAUCCAGCAAUGCCGCGUGCAGGAUGAAGGCCUUCGGGUUGUAAACUGCUUUUGUACGGAACGAAAAGCCCUGGGUUAAUACCCUGGGGUCAUGACGGUACCGUAAGAAUAAGCACCGGCUAACUACGUGCCAGCCGCCGCGGUAACAC